CGGUUCUCCUACGUAGGUCAUUGGCCACUAAAAGUAACAGGAGUGAUACUAGAAGGUAGCAGGGUACACUUUCGAAUUUUGGCCCCCGUCAAUAUUUGUUAUAAAGAGAACAUCGUGGUUUUGGAUGUCUGUAAAUUAAGAACAUGAACUCUCGUUAACCCGAGUUAUGUAAGAAAUCCCAGAAAAUGUGGUUAAUUUUACUCUCCAGGCCAGAUAUCUAGCUUUAUAGACAUGUGAAGUAAAGGAAACUAUUAUACAUGUGAUAGUUCUAGAUUUAACAAAAACCCGGUCUUCCAGCUAUAAACUGGUGCUGUUCAAGAGAGUAAUAAUUGAGUGCCUAGUACUGUGGUGCACAGGAAAAAAUAAAAAUAUAAAAAGCUGCAACUUCAGUGAGAAAAGAAAACAAAAAAAACAGAACUUGGAUAUAUAAUGAGUUAAUAUACAGACAUUCACUUUAGUAGGACUUAAUCAGUGACUGAAAAAAGAAAAAUGUUUAGAUUUAUAAAAGACUGGAAUCAAUAUUUUACAUGUUGUAGUGAUGAAAUAUUCUGUUAUUAUUUCUUCAGGAAAAUUGCAAACAAUCUUUAAAUCAAGAUUUCUUUUUGUUAAAUGUUAACAAAAUCACAACUAUUUGAAAAUAAAAUAUGUAUU